rnacentral:rRNA from 1 species
CUACGGGAGGCAGCAGUGGGGAAUAUUGCACAAUGGGCGCAAGCCUGAUGCAGCCAUGCCGCGUGUGUGAAGAAGGCCUUCGGGUUGUAAAGCACUUUCAGCGGGGAGGAAGGCAGUAAGGCUAAUAUCCUUAUUGAUUGACGUUACCCGCAGAAGAAGCACCGGCUAACUCCGUGCCAGCAGCCGCGGUAAUACGGAGGGUGCAAGCGUUAAUCGGAAUGACUGGGCGUAAAGCGCACGCAG